rnacentral:pre_miRNA from 1 species
UCUUGCAAAGCCAUUUUACAUCACCCAAAACAAAGCCCUGUCUUUUGCUGCUUAAUGGUAAGAAAGUGCUUUUGUUUUGGGCAUUGUAUUUA